AUUAAACCCAGGGACUUUGUGCAUGCUAGGCAAGCACUCUACCACUGAGCUAUACCCUCGGCCCGUCUCAUUUUUGAGACGGGCUUUCUAAGUUGCACUGAGCAAUUCAGUGAGACCUUGUCUCUAAAUAAAAUUCAAAAAUAGGGCUGGCGAUAUGGCUCAGUGGUCAAGUGCCUCUGAGUUCAAUCCCCGGUUCUUUUUUUUUUUUUUUUAAAGGGAAAUCUUUCCAUCUUCUAAGUUUCUCUUCAGUUUGUUUCUUUAAUGUUCUGUAGUUUUUAGUUUUCAUUGUAGAGGUCUUUCACCUCUUUUGUUAGAUGAGUCCCAAAUAUUUUAUUAUUCUUUUUCAAGGCUAUUGUGAAUGGGAUAGCUUCCCCAAUUUCUUUUUCGGUUGAGUCAUCAUUGAUGUAUAGGAACACGAUUUAUGAGUGUUAAUUUAUCCUGCUAUUUUGCUGAAUUCAUUUAUGAGUUCUAGAAGUUUUCUGGUGGAUUUUUUUGGUCUUCUAAAUAUAGAAUCAUGUUGGCAAAAAGGGAUAGUUUGAAUUCUUUUCCUAUUGGUAUCCUGUUAAUUUUUUUCUUUUGCCCAAUUGCUCUGGCUUAUCCUUAACUCACUCACUUUAUUUAUUUAUUUAUAUUUAAUUUUACUUUGAAACAAGGUCUUCCUAAGUUGCUGAGGCUGGCAUUGAAUUUGUGAUUUACCUGUCUUAGCCUCCUGCGAAUGAAUUUUUUAAAGAAAUAUUUUUGAUCCAUGAUUGAUUGAAGCCAUGGGUAGUAGAACCUGUGGAUAUGGAGAGCUGAGCAUAUCUAAAUUUUAGUUUUUUAGGAAUAGGCUCUUUUAAGCCCACUUAGAAGGGCAUCUGUAUGCUGGACACUGCAAAGCAUUUCAUGUCUGUAUGUUCACAACAACCUUGUGAGAUAGGUGAGUUUAUUUUCAGUGUUAGCUUUAGAGAGCUCAUCCAAAAUACAAUUCAGAAGUAUCUUAGAACUUUUUAAAAACUACUUUUUAAAGAAGUGUCCAUACUGAUUACAUCAGAAUCUGUGGGAAGAUGAAGGUAGAUAUUGGCAUUUUUGAAAGCACUUCAUGUGAUUUGAAUGUCCUACUAGGUUUAAGAACCACUGCACUUAACAUCCUGCCUGCUAUACAAAUAAUAGAAUGGAAGUUAAAUCCAAGGCUGCUCAUUUUGCUCUAGUUUAAUUAAUUGGCCAAAAUGGCCAGGGAAUGUAUUCAACCAAGGCAGCAGUGACCAGCUUACCCUGGUUUACCCAGGACCUUUCCAGUUUAGCAGUGGAGGUCCUAUGUCUUAGGAAACCCCUCAGUCAUUUUCCUGGAUGGAUUGGAUGGUGAGCCUACAAAGCAGUUAUUUAUGGAAUUUAUCUGUAAAAACAUUUUAUUCUUUAAACAUCCUAUAUGUGUUUCUAAAAAUCAAAUAGUAUAACAGAAGUGGCUCACCGUGUAUUUACUGACCUGUUUUCAAGUUUGCUUAUUUUUUGUCUUGCAGUUCAAAUCUACUAAGAGCUCCUCUAGUUUUUUCAUCUUAGCUAUUGUACUUUUAAUUAACUUCCGAUUUGUUCUUUUUAUAAAACAAUUUCUCAUUGUUAAUACAAAGAGAUGCAUGUUUAUCUUUGUUCUCUAUUUGAUAAAAUGUUGUAUCUUCCUUCAAGUUGUUAAUCUGACUUUCAUUUAGUUCUGUGAAUGUUUAUAAUGGUCAGUCUUUCUGAUACAUCUGAUGUCUAGUUACUGUGACAGGCCUUCAGGGUGCCGCUUUUCUAUUGGCAUUUGGGUCAUAUUUUCCUGUUUUUUUUCCAUGCCUCUUUGUAUGGCAAGUCAACAUUUAACCUCAAUAAGAAACUGAUCAACUAUCUUCCAAAGUAGUUACUCCAUUUUUCUUUCACUUGUAUAUGAGUGAUCUAAUGGCUUCACAUGUCUUUUCCAACAUUAUAGUAGAUAUGAAAUAUUAUAUUGAUAUGGUUCUGCUUUUUUUCCCCCAGAGAACCUAAGAUGCUAGUCUUGUGUAAAUUUCUAAUUCUGAUGAGGUGCAGUUCUUUUUUUAAUUUCCUUUCAUGGUAAAUUCUUUCUGUGACCUAACAAGUCAUUUUUACUUGCCUCCAAAUCCAAAAUACUCUCCUAUGAUUUUUUUCUAGUAGUCUGUUUCUGAGUUUUACAUUUAGAUCUAUGGCCCAUCUCCAUUUUUAUGGUGUGUAUAUGUCUGUCUCUGUGUGUGUGUGUGUAGAUGAGAUGGGGUCAGGGCUUUUUUAGAUAUCUAGUUGUUCAACAAAUAUGGGUAUGCUUUCCCCAUUGAAUUAACUUGGCCCCUUACUGAAAAACUAUAAAUAUAGGUCUCUUUCCUAGACUCUUUAUUCUAGUCCAUUGACAUAUUCAUCUAUUCUUAUUAUAAUACCACAGUGUCUUGAUUACUGUGGUUUUAUAGUCUUGAAAAUUAGAUAUUCCAAGUCUUCCAAACUGUUCAAGAUUGCUUUGGGUACUUUAAGGUCUUUGCACUUUGAAAAUUUAAAAUCAGCUAGUCUAUUUCUUUUUUUCCCUUUUCUUAAAAAAACAGUGAAAUUUUUGUAGUUAAUGCAUUAAAUAUACAAAUUAAAAUUUCUAAUUCAUGAACAUGCUCGCUCCCUGUAGUUAGGCUUUUUGCAAAAUGAAGUUUUAAAAAGGGUGGGAAUGUAGCUCAGAGGCAGUACACUCCUGGCUUCAAUCCCCAAUAUUACACACACACACACACACACACACAUUGAAGUUUCAAAUUAGAUCACAAGUUUCUAUCAGAUCACUAGCAUGCCCUGGCUUUGAUUCCUAUAAUGAUCUUGCUAAAUGCACUUUUUAAUUCUGGUUGAUCUUGUUAAAUAUUUUUUUUGUCUUUUACUCCUUUUUUCUCUUCUUCUUACAUGAGAUUUUCUAUGUAAAUGGUCUAUUAUUUAUGAACAACUACCCUAGCUUUUUCUUAACUGGCUAGAAACUCCAGAAUGAUGCUGAACAGAAAUGCUGAAAGCAUAUAUCUUACUAUUUAAUCAUCAUUAGGUGUUUUUCACGGAUAGCCUUUACAAGACCAGGGAAUUUAUAUUCUUAGUUUUCUGAGAGGUUUUUGUAUUUUAAGCGGGUGCUGAAUUUGUCAGAUGCUUUUGUAAUCAUUGAGAUGAUUGGUUCUGUUGUCAUCUAAAAUGGUUUUUCUCCUUUACUCUGCUUAUGGGUGACUUACACAGAUUGGCUCUAAAUUUUUUAUUGUUUUGGUACAGGGGAUGGAACCUAGGGAUGCUCUACUGCUGAACUACAUCCUCAGCCUUUCUUUUCUUUUAAAUUUUUUUUUAAUACUUACUUUUUAGUUGUAGUUGUGUAGACUUUUAUUU
rnacentral:lncRNA from 1 species